UGUAGACACUGGUACAGUGAUGGAGGUAGUUAAUAUGUAGACACUGGUACAGUGAUGGAGGUAGUUAAUAUGUAGACACUGGUACAGUGAUGGAGGUAGUUAAUAUGUAGACACUGGUACAGUGAUGGAGGUAGUUAAUAUGUAGACACUGGUACAGUGAUGGAGGUAGUUAAUAUGUAGACACUGGUACAGUGAUGGAGGUAGUUAAUAUGUAGACACUGGUACAGUGAUGGAGAUAGUUAAUAUGUAGACACUGGUACAGUGAUGGAGGUAGUUAAUAUGUAGACACUGGUACAGUGAUGGAGGUAGUUAAUAUGUAGACACUGGUACAGUGAUGGAGGUAGUUAAUAUGUAGACACUGGUACAGUGAUGGAGGUAGUUAAUAUGUAGACACUGGUACAGUGAUGGAGGUAGUUAAUAUGUAGACACUGGUACAGUGAUGGAGGUAGUUAAUAUGUAGACACUGGUAGGGUGAUGGAGGUAGUUAAUAUGUAGACACUGGUACAGUGAUGGAGGUAGUUAAUAUGUAGACACUGGUACAGUGAUGGAGGUAGUUAAUAUGUAGACACUGGUACAGUGAUGGAGGUAGUUAAUAUGUAGACACUGGUACAGUGAUGGAGGUAGUUAAUAUGUAGACACUGGUACAGUGAUGGAGGUAGUUAAUAUGUAGACACUGGUACAGUGAUGGAGGUGGUUAAUAUGUAGACACUGGUACAGUGAUGGAGGUAGUUAAUAUGUAGACACUGGUACAGUGAUGGAGGUGGUUAAUAUGUAGACACUGGUACAGUGAUGGAGGUAGUUAAUAUGUAGACACUGGUACAGUGAUGGAGGUGGUUAAUAUGUAGACACUGGUACAGUGAUGGAGGUAGUUAAUAUGUAGACACUGGUACAGUGAUGGAGGUAGUUAAUAUGUAGACACUGGUACAGUGAUGGAGGUAGUUAAUAUGUAGACACUGGUACAGUGAUGGAGGUAGUUAAUAUGUAGACACUGGUACAGUGAUGGAGGUAGUUAAUAUGUAGACACUGGUACAGUGAUGGAGGUAGUUAAUAUGUAGACACUGGUACAGUGAUGGAGAUAGUUAAUAUGUAGACACUGGUACAGUGAUGGAGGUAGUUAAUAUGUAGACACUGGUACAGUGAUGGAGGUAGUUAAUAUGUAGACACUGGUACAGUGAUGGAGGUAGUUAAUAUGUAGACACUGGUACAGUGAUGGAGGUAGUUAAUAUGUAGACACUGGUACAGUGAUGGAGGUAGUUAAUAUGUAGACACUGGUACAGUGAUGGAGGUAGUUAAUAUGUAGACACUGGUACAGUGAUGGAGAUAGUUAAUAUGUAGACACUGGUACAGUGAUGGAGAUAGUUAAUAUGUAGACACUGGUAGGGUGAUGGAGGUGGUUAAUAUGUAGACACUGGUACAGUGAUGGAGAUAGUUAAUAUGUAGACACUGGUACAGUGAUGGAGGUAGUUAAUAUGUAGACACUGGUACAGUGAUGGAGGUGGUUAAUAUGUAGACACUGGUACAGUGAUGGAGGUAGUUAAUAUGUAGACACUGGUACAGUGACGGAGAUAGUUAAUAUGUAGACACUGGUACAGUGAUGGAGGUAGUUAAUAUGUAGACACUGGUACAGUGAUGGAGAUAGUUAAUAUGUAGACACUGGUACAGUGAUGGAGGUAGUUAAUAUGUAGACACUGGUACAGUGAUGGAGGUAGUUAAUAUGUAGACACUGGUACAGUGAUGGAGGUAGUUAAUAUGUAGACACUGGUACAGUGAUGGAGAUAGUUAAUAUGUAGACACUGGUACA